GCGUGAGUGAUGAAGGUCUUCGGAUUGUAAAACUCUUUCGUCAGGGACGAUAAUGACUGUACCUGAAGAAGAAGCCCCGGCUAACUUCGUGCCAGCAGCCGCGGUAAUACGAAGGGGGCUAGCGUUGUUCGGAAUUACUGGGCGUAAAGCGCGCGUAGGCGGAUCGUUAAGUCGGAGGUGAAAGCCCUGGGCUCAACCCAGGAACGGCCUUCGAUACUGGCGAUCUUGAGGGUGAGAGAGGCGAGUGGAAUUCCGAGUGUAGCAGUGAAAUGCGU
rnacentral:rRNA from 1 species